rnacentral:rRNA from 1 species
AGUGAACGCUGGCGGUAGGCCUAACACAUGCAAGUCGAACGGCAGCACAGUAAGAGCUUGCUCUUACGGGUGGCGAGUGGCGGACGGGUGAGGAAUACAUCGGAAUCUACUUUUUCGUGGGGGAUAACGUAGGGAAACUUACGCUAAUACCGCAUACGAUCUACGGGUGAAAGCAGGGGAUCUUCGGACCUUGUGCGACUGAAUGAGCCGAUGUCGGAUUAGCUAGUUGGCGGGGUAAAGGCCCACCAAGGCGACGAUCCGUAGCUGGUCUGAGAGGAUGGUCAGCCACACUGGAACUGAGACGCGGUCCAGACUCCUACGGGAGGCAGCAGUGGGGAAUAUUGGACCAUGGGCGCAGGCCUGAUCCAGCCAUACCGCGUGGGUGAAGAAGGCCUUCGGGUUGUAAAGCCCUUUUGUUGGGAAAGAAGAGCAGCAGGUUAAUACCCCGCUGUUCUGACGGUACCCAAAGAAUAAGCACCGGCUAACUUCGUG